CCUAGCAGUUUCAACUCAAACAUUGAAAAACAACCUAGCUUGUGAAUAAUCAAUGUAAAUAGCCAAGAAACACAAUUACAAAGUCUUACUUCAGUAGACUUUCGCUUCAAUAAAUUAGACCCAACGCUGUGUGCAGCGUUUCUGAAAAUGAAUCUUUCACUCAGCCUUUCACUUGCGCCCAGUCCCCAGCCAGGCAGUAUUGCAUCGUGAGGUGAGAUAGGCUGUAUAGGAUUCGUAGUUCUUCGGCUUUGUGCGAUUAUUUUACCAGCUAUGAAACAAAACGGCAGAAAUGUCAAUAGUAGGAUUCUUCUGCGCUACCUACAUCUGGAAAAUUGUUUGGUCCCGAGUGCCUGGCCCUGUGCUUGAUGCUUGGUGUGAGAAAUGAGCAUGGUGGAGAGGGAGGGAUGGAAGAGGCACGCCGGCGGUGCAAGGCCCCCACCUGUGGUGCAGGCUCGGGGCUAACAGCGGCCUGGGGUGGAGCACUGUGGCGUGGCGGGGAGGGGAGGGGAAGUGAAGGAGAUGUCUCAUGAACUGUCUCCAUCCCUGUGCUCAUCAUUAACCUCUCUGCACACGUCUCGCAACACAACCCCCCGCACUGUGUCGCCCAUGUUCCCCACUUAUCCCCUGGCCUGUCCUGACCAUGUACCCGCCCGCCUGACCUCUCUGCCUGUCCCUGAGCCUGCCUGCCGUCCUGUACCUUUGCUCCACCUCCGGAUUACCGACCUCUGCCUGACCUGAGCCUGCCUGCAGUCCUGUACCUUGGCCUCUAAUCUGGAUUAUCGACCCCUGCCUGCCUUGACCUGUUGUUUGCCUGCCCCUGUUGUUACAAUAAACAUAGUUACCCUCACACAGUCUGAACUUACUUUGAUUCCUGAUAAUGAUAUUGUUAUUGUUCUUGUACAUACUGCUUAUUAUUUUGUUCUUUCUCUAAUGGCAUUUACACUUAUUUUUUUCUUU